CUUCCUCUAUAUUUUUGGAUGUGGGACACCUCCAUAGCAUGACUGGUGAGCAGAGUAGGUCCACGCCUGGGAUCUGAAUGCAUGACUCUGGGCGGCUGAAGCAGGAUGGCCUUCACGAUGUCUCCUGAGCACAGAAGUCUAGUGUCCAUGAUGUGUGGGGGUUCUAAAAGACUCAAAGUGAGUUCAAGAUUUUCCUCUCACCAUUAAAAGGAAAUGUUGCUGACUCUGUCUGUGAACAGUAUGCUGUGUUGUUCUAGACCAUAGGCCAUAUUUGGUGCUUUUUGUUCUUACAAAUAUGGGCUACAGUACACUAAACAUCCAUACUAUUUCCUCAAGAUCAAAUUGCGUCCCAUGAUUGGCAUCUGCCUGACGUUGCCUAGAGAUGAGAAUUCAGUCUGUGCCUUUGAAACGUGUUUCUCUCACUAUGAAGCCAACUGGCCCACGUGGGAUUUGGCUCUACAAGUCUGCCUCAUUAACAGCUAAUGAGCAGAGCUCAAUGCUAAACAACAGGGCGAUUCCUGCUUUGAUUAUUCUAGGUUCAAGGUGGUGGCACUGGCCUGGAGACUGAAAACGGCUUGCAGAAAAUUGAAACACACUCUGUAAUAAUAUAAACACAAACUGC